UCGGGAAUUUUGCGCAAUGGGCGAAAGCCUGACGCAGCAACGCCGCGUGAGGGAUGAAGGCCUUCGGGUUGUAAACCUCUUUUGUCAGGGACGAUGAUGACGGUACCUGACGAAUAAGCCACGGCUAACUACGUG
rnacentral:rRNA from 1 species